rnacentral:rRNA from 1 species
UUUGGAACUGCAUUUUUAACUACCGAGCUAGAGUGUGUCAGAGGGAGGUGGAAUUCCGCGUGUAGCAGUGAAAUGCGUAGAUAUGCGGAGGAACACCGAUGGCGAAGGCAGCCUCCUGGGAUAACACUGACGCUCAUGCACGAAAGCGUGGGGAGCAAACAGGAUUAGAUACCCUGGUAGUCCACGCCCUAAACGAUGUCAACUAGCUGUUGGGGCCUUCGGGCCUUGGUAGCGCAGCUAACGCGUGAAGUUGACCGCCUGGGGAGUACGGUCGCAAGAUUAAAACUCAAAGGAAUUGACGGGGACCCGCACAAGCGGUGGAUGAUGUGGAUUAAUUC